UGGUGGAGUGAUUUGUCUGGCUAAUUCCGAUAACGAACGAGACUCUAGCCUACUAAAUAGUUCGGGGACCCCCACAAAGGGGCCCCGCUUCAACUUCUUAGAGGGACAGGUGGCGUUUAGCCACACGAGAUUGAGCAAUAACA
rnacentral:rRNA from 1 species